rnacentral:lncRNA from 1 species
CUUACCACCCAGUCAUCAUCCCUAAUUGGUCGAACGACCCCAUCAGAUACAAAAAAGCCGCUUUCAGUUCAUUUUUUAAAAGAGCGUACCAAUACUGCACGAAUGAAGAAGACUAUCUCGAGGAGACAAAUUACAUAAUUACCACAGGGAUUAAAUACGGAUACACCAAAGGAUUUAUCCAGUCAAUAAGACGUAAUGUUGGAAACAUAAUGAAGCAACCAACACAUCCAAAUAGAGACAACCUAGCCGUACAAGAGACCCCGGAAGAAAAAGAAAACGAAAAAUAUGCUGCCCUACCGUUCCACCUAACUAGGAUGCCCGUUGUAAAGAAAAUAGCAAAAGCAUCACAAACAAAAUUAGUUCCUAAAAGAGGCCCUACAGUCUUCUUCUACCUAAGGAACGACAAAGACCACCUAGAUGACAAGAAUAAAUCAGGCAUAUACACCACUCCA